rnacentral:lncRNA from 1 species
GAAUUCUAUAAGGUGGGUGUAUGGAUCUUCAUCUACUUGCCCAGAGAAGGGUUGCUCCUGAAUCAUGGCUAUUAGAUCAGGGCCGAGGUCGUAGCCAUCUGUAAGAAUUGGAUGUGAUGAUGGUGGUGGCUCUAAUAACUCGCCCUUUGGAGCAAAGAAUUUAUAGAUAGGAGUGAAAUCCAUGUGGUAUGGUGAAAAUGGUAAGGUGAGUGUGGUAAAAAAAGAAAAGAAAAAGGAUACACGGAUGACUU